CAUUAGAUACCCCGGUAGUCCUAGCCGUAAACGAUACUCGCUAGGUGUCGGCCACGGUGCGACCGUUGUCGGUGCCGUAGGGAAGCCGUGAAGCGAGCCACCUGGGAAGUAUGGGCCGCAAAGGCUGAAACUUAAAGGAAUUGGCGGGGGAGCACAACAACGGGUGGAGCUUGCGGUUUAAUUGGAUUCAACGCCGGAAAUCUUACCGGGACCGACAGCAACAUGAAGGCCAAGCUGAAGACUUUGCCGGAUUAGCUG
rnacentral:rRNA from 1 species